rnacentral:rRNA from 1 species
UGAGGAAUCUUGCGCAAUGGGGGAAACCUUGACGCAGCAACGCCGCGUGAGUGAUGAAGGCCUUCGGGUCGUAAAGCUCUGUCAGAUGGGACGAAGGGUUCGGCGGUGAAUAACCGCUGGACCUUGACGGUACCGUCAGAGGAAGCACCGGCUAACUCCGUGCCAGCAGCCGCGGUAAUACGGAGGGUGCAAGCGUUGUUCGGAAUUAUUGGGCGUAAAGAGCGUGUAGGCGGCCGGGUAAGUCAGAUGUGAAAUCCCUUGGCUCAACCAAGGAAGUGCAUUUGAAACUGUCCGGCUUGAGUACGAGAGGGGGAAGUGGAAUUCCCGGUGUAGAGGUGAAAUUCGUAGAUAUCGGGAGGAACACCGGUGGCGAAGGCGGCUUCCUGGAUCGAUACUGACGCUGAGACGCGAAAGCGUGGGGAGCAAACA